UCAGAUUUGGUGUAGUGGGAAUAAGGCCCCUUUUUCAUAUGAUUUUGAUGAAUUUUCAGUGGCAGUUCAGAGUUCGAUUCCCUGUGUCUGAG